AGAGAUUGAAGAGUUGCAACAUCAAUUUGAUUCAGAUCUUGUUGAUGAUGUUAAACAACCCUUAGUGUAUGCAAGGAACUUUCUGGAAUUUUGCUCCUUCCAAGCUCUUCAAGUUGUAACCAUCCGUCCUGAUUAUCUGAGCGAUAAGGAAUUCCGUCGGUUGAUGUUCGACAUGAUGCUAGCAUGGGAGGUCCCUGGUGUUGGAAAUCAAGAAACUACAGCCUCCGAUAAGAGGGAAGUGGAGGAUGAAGAUAGCUGGUCAUUGUUUUAUUCGGAUUCCACAGACAUGGCUGUUCAGGUUGAUGAUAAAAAGACAGUUGGUGAAGAAUCAUUUUCACGAAUUGCUCCUGCUUGUGCUAUUGUUGCAGACAUUAUAACAGUUCACAAUCUUUUCGAUGUCCUAGCAAGUUCAUCAGGUCACCGGCUCCAUUUUCUUAUAUACGACAAGUACCUUCGGAGUCUUGAAAAGGUGAUAAAGGUGGUCCAGAAUUUCAGUGGACCUCAAUUGGUGUCCAACCUUUCACUUGCAGAGGAAGAGAUAGUGCUAGAGGUGGAUGGUACAGUUCCCACACAACCAGUUUUGGAACAUAUUGGAAUAUCUGCAUGGCCUGGAAGGUUGACAUUAACUAACCAUGCUCUCUACUUCGAGUCUGGGAUGGGCUUAUACGACAAGGCAGUGCGGUAUGAUCUAGCAUCCGACUUGAAACAGAUCAUUAAGCCUGAGCUUACUGGACCUUUAGGUGCUCGCCUUUUUGAUAAAGCUGUUAUGUACAAGUCCUCAUCUAUGAUGGAUCCUGCAUAUUUUGAAUUUCCAGAAUUUAAAGGAAGUUCAAGACGGGAUUAUUGGUUAGAUAUUUGUCUCGAGAUUUUCCAUGCUCACAACUUUGCUCGGAAGUAUAAACUCAAAGAGGAUCAGCAGUCCGAAGCACUUGCUAGGGCUGUUCUUGGAAUUUACAGAUACAAGGCAGUCAGAGAGGCUUUUAAGGUAUCUUCUUCCAAUUACAAAACCGUACUAUGUUUUAACUUAGCAGAAAGUCUUCCUAGAGGAGAUGCGAUCUUGGAAACUUUAUCAAGCCGCUUGAAACUCAUGAACUCUGCCGGCAAUCGACGUAGAUUAUUGGGUUCUCCUAGUGCAAGGAGACAGGUGAUACACCCAGUAUCACGGGUGUCACUUUGUAGACUUGGAAUCAUCUCAUGCAAGGACGUCGAUAUAAUUGGAGAAGCAACAAUGUUAGUAGGAGAUGUCUUUGUUGGUGAGGUAAAUCCUCUGGAA
rnacentral:misc_RNA from 1 species